rnacentral:piRNA from 1 species
AGGUGUGUGGGUUCAUUUCUGGGUCUUCAAU